rnacentral:lncRNA from 1 species
UCUCACAUAGAGAGCCAUCCUGUGUUCGCACUUGUUUUUUAGGAUCCACAAUGAUAACAUCACGAUCAGGCAACGACGAUCUGUAGCUAUCAGUGACUCCAAGCACCUGUGGAAGCUAAUGAAAUACAAAAACCUAAUAAACUAUAAACUAAUUGUAUCAUGAAAGUCAUUGUAACUUGAAAUCAAUGUUUAGUUUUGCACUUCAUAAACUAUAGGCUAUCGACCUUUAACACCAAUUAGAAAUCUCCUAGUAUCUUCAACCCAGAUCCCCAAAUCUAGAAAUCCCCUUCCUUAGGGAGAUAGGGGAAGUAGCGGCACAAAACAAGAGACUAACUUGAUU